AUCCCCACCCCCUACCCGCACCACCACCUCCACUCUAAAAAUAUACCGGAUAAUGGAGUUGGGCCACCAUUGACCACAAGGCAAACCGGCGGAGCCACCAGAAUGCUGUCGGAACUGCUUGAAUCAUCGAAAAUCAUGUUGGAAUCCUCGAACUAUCGACGGAGCCACCGGAUCGCAAUCGAAAAUGCUGAAAGUACCGGCGAAUUUAUGACUUCGCUCACAAUGUCAUGGCAAAGCUGCACCAUAUAGAACCUGAGAAAUUUCAACGAUGUUUAUUAACUCUGAGGAGCUUGAUGUGAUGAAGAUGUACUGAUAUUCUUACGCACGGGUAAAGGUAUUGAAGCAACAUCAUUGAUUAGAGUUUAGUAUUAAGUGCUAGUCCCCAAAGAAGGAAGCUUCGUCGGAGAGUUGCUUAUCGCCUGCCUCCAAGGAAGUUGAGCGGGAUGAGGUGACUGCAAUACGGGAAUGGUGAGACUAGAAUGCAGUUAAGCAGUGGAAUUGACAGAUUCAAUGUCUUCGAUGAAAGAAGUUGUGGUCAGAAUUGCAGAUGGAUGUCGUCGAUGAAAGAAGCGGUGGUCGGAGAUGGAGAAGGAGGCUAGGCUCGACUGCAACUGAUGAGGUAUGGAGUUGACUGCAUUUCAUUAGAAUGAAUCACAUUAAAAUUGGUUUUAUCUAUUAUUUGGGCCUAAUUUGGGCUUCAGUUUAUAAUACAGACUUAUUUCAUUAAAAUAGUAACAUGGGCUUAUUUAUUUACUUUAAAGAUA